rnacentral:lncRNA from 1 species
UCAAAACGGCCAAAAAAUAAAUGAAUAAAUAAAAAAUGCCUUCUUCACUUGAGAACUGCUAUGGCAAUAACAGCAAAUUUCAAUGGAGUAUUUGAGGCUCUGUCUAACAUCCCCAAGCUACACCAGAUGCGAAGAAAUCAACAAUUACAUGCUUUCUUAGCAAGAAAAAGAUGAAUUCGAAGACAACAAAGUGCAUACUACAAGAAGAUUGUCAAUACGCCUUGCGUCAAUAGCACUCUUUGGAAAUACAAGCAUUGGAAAUUCUCUUGCAGAGGACAAUGGAUUUUGGCUCACAGUUGUACCCUCUGUUAACAACAGUGAGUUCUAUACUUUAUUUUCUAUUUUGACUUAAAUGUAAGAGAAGCAAUAAUCAGAAAGACUGCUCAUAAGUUUUCUUUGUCGUAUAAAUUGACAAUGAAGAGACGGGAACUAGUUCCUUUCUCAAGAAAGGAAUCUAUAUAGCUAAUAUUGGAACUAAAGGGAGAAUGCACAGAUUGAAACGAUAUGCUUUCGAUCUCAUAGCAAUGGGAGAUAUGCGCCUUAAGUCGACAUUUAUGUACUAUGAUUUUGAUGAAGUGAUCUCUGCAGCAAAAGUAGAUGAUAAGAAAUCUCUUAAAGAACUUGCCAACCGGUUGUUCAACAACGUUGAAAAGGUAAUCUGAUCAUAACUUAUUGUUCAAUUUCCUCCCACAUAAUUUAUUUUAGAGUAAUGUUAUUUAAAACCAAUUAUAUUAAAUACCAAUUUAGAUGUCAACAUGUCAUAAAUCCUAAUAAAUAAAUCUUAAAUCCUUACAUUUAAUUGAACCUAUAAUUUGAUAGGUGUUGCUAUAACAACAAGGGGGCUGACUGCCCCCUGACCAAACCCCACAAAUGGGGAGGUCCCCUUUUUUUGCAGGCCCCGCCUGUGGGGUUCUUGUCAAGACCAGCUCCUUGUUAUAGGAGCAAAAUCCAUAAUUUGAUAACACAAGUAUUGUCACCUAAAUUGAUGUUAAAUACCGUUGUUA